rnacentral:lncRNA from 1 species
CGCCCUCGGCGCCUCAGGAAGCCUCGAGCUGGGAUCCAGGCUUGGGCGACCGAGGUGAGCCGGCCUGGCCAGCGGGAAGCCCACAGGCCUGAGGCCGCCCAGUUCCCGCCCAUCCUGCGCCCGCCCGGUCUGACCGAUGUCCUUGGCCUUGCGCGGCACCAGGCGCCGCUGCAACCAGACCAUCUUGAUGGCGUCCAGGCGGAUCUCCACGAGGUUGCUGAAGAGCGCGAGCAGCGGCGCCAGCGGGAAGGCGGCCACGAAGAUGGUGGUGAAGCCGUACUGGAUCACUGCGCGGUGGGGGUCAGGCUCACCGGCGCCCCGCACUCAUGUCCGCGGACCCCCGCCCCGCAUUCGUCUCCGCGAACCCCCGCCCCGCAGCGCCCACGCACUCAUCUCCAUGAACUCGUCGAACAGGCUGAAGGUGUUGACCGGGUUCAGAAGGUAGUUGCGCCGCCAGUCCCUGAGCUCGGGGUCCCGGGGCAGGUGCCCGGACUCGGAGGCCCGCAGAGAGCGGCACUUGUGGGUCACCCACCUGCGGGGAGAGCUGCGUGGCAGGGAGGGCGCAGGGGGCGGAGGGGCCUGGGGCUCCCGGGGCUGGGCGGGGGUCGGCACUCACGGGACCAGGUACUCGACGCAGUUGCUGAGCGUCUGCUUCAGGCCCAUGAUGAUGGCCAUCUGCACGAAGAGGUCCAUCAUGCAGCCGCUGGCGUGGCACUGCGGGGCCAGACAGGAGGAGAUCAGGGAGGGGUCCUGGGGGACGGUCAGGGGAGCAGUGGCUCAGGGACAGGGCAUGAAGCCUGGGGGUGACUGACCUCUUCCAGCUUCCACAAGCCCGCCAGGCGCGUGGACUUCCCGGGGUGGCCGUUGAUCCUGGGGAGGAAGGGGAAGUCUGGGGCACUGCGGGCAGCGCCCUGCCUCUGACAGGGUGGGUGCAGCAGGACAGAAGCGGGUAGGAAAGACACAGAACAGGCGGGGCAGGCCCUGCAGGUGAGCGGGGCACAGGUGCUCACACCCAGAUGAACCGCACCCGCACGUGGGCACGCACACACACACACACACACACAGGGGAGGCCACAGGCUCCCAGAUGAACCGCACCCACACGU